rnacentral:rRNA from 1 species
UGGGGAAUAUUGCACAAUGGACGGAAGUCUGAUGCAGCGACGCCGCGUGGGGGAUGAAGGCUUUCGGGUUGUAAACUCCUUUUGAUGCUGAACAAGGCUCUUUUUAGGGUUGAGGGUAGGUGUUGAAUAAGCGCCGGCUAACUACGUGCCAGCAGCCGCGGUAAUACGUAGGGCGCGAGCGUUGUCCGGAAUUAUUGGGCGUAAAGGGCUCGUAGGCGGUUUGUCGCGUCUGCUGUGAAAGACCGGGGCUUAACUCCGGGGUUGCAGUGGGUACGGGCAGACUAGAGUGCGGUAGGGGUAGCUGGAAUGCCUGGUGUAGCUGUGGAAUGCGCAGAUAUCAGGAGGAACACCGAUGGCGAAGGCAGGUUACUGGGCCGUUACUGACGCUGAGGAGCGAAAGCAUGGGGAGCGAACAGG